rnacentral:lncRNA from 1 species
CUGCUUCCAAAUUACUGUUAGAUAUUUUCAAUCAAUUUGUAACAAAGAAUUAUUUUGCAAGAUGAAUCACAAUCCAUUAGAAAACGACAUAAAAAUGUCUGGGAAAAAUGACAAGAUUCAAUAUAAAUUUGAUUUUGAUUUACAUUAUCAAUUUGCCUUCACCACAAGGGGUUUUACUUUUAGGUACAAGUCUCCUUCUGUUUGUAUUCCAUCACCCCAGAAUGAAAGAGGUAAGAGAGGGGUGCCUUCGGAAACGUGGAUACAAGUAGUGCAUGGCUAUCGUCAACUCAUACCGUAAGGUGUUGGAUUAAGUUCCGAAAUGAGCGUAACCCCGUGUUUAACAGAUUGGGCCAAUUAUUUGGCCCAUUUCAGUUUUUUCUUUCUUGUUCUUUUUAUUUAUUUAUUUUUUAUUAGUGGGCUUCUCACUUAUUUUUCUAAUGGGGCUGGCCAAACGUUCAGUGUAGUAGACGCCUGAACUGGGUCAGUCCUUGGCUAACGGUGAAUUCAAAUGCAGUCUUUUAUGUCGAAUUCCAACUUAAAGAGUAAUUGACUUAGGUACCGAAUUAGAGUACAUUAUCCUAUCCAUUCUCCCAUGUCGAUUUUACUUACGAUUGAACAGGUUUGGUAGAUUCUUUACAAUUUUUGGAUUCAUUACAAUGUUGAAGCCCAUUUCGACAUCAAGUUCAAGGGAUAACCUUCCUCCUUUUUUGCAGAGUUUUUCUGGACCUUUACUUUAUGCUACAUACAGUUUCAAAUCUUUCAUUUUGUUGCAUUACAAGGACAAAUAAUCCAUUUGAUUUUUAGUUGACCCAAAAAAUAGACUUUGACCAAAUCUGACAAAAUUAAAAUUUUAACAUAAAAAUAAUUUAAAAAAUUCAAUUAAAAAUGAAAAAGAAAUGAAAGAAAGAGACUGUUUAUCUCCCUCCCCCACCACAUGCCUAACCCAAACCAAGUCAACCCUCCAGUCAUCACCACUCGUCGCCGUCGCCGGCCUUUCUUACCCAUUUAAUCUUCUUCCCCAACCCUAUCCCCCUUCCAAUCUCCACCUCCAUCCCAAAAACCAAACCAAACCAAACCAAGAAAUCUCUAUUUUUUCUGGGUUUGGUUUUCUUCUCUAUCGCUUAAAAUUCUCCAAACAUGGUAUUAAUAAACACAUUCCAAUUCUAUAAUAAUACCCUUCUUUAUAAACCCGUAGUUUCUUCAACCAGCAACCGACAAUAGAACAUCAUCAGGAAAUAAAACCCGACUCUAUUUUGAUGGGCAACAACAAUUUACAAAAAUCUUGGAUUGAUUUAGCAGAAUUGGAUAAACUAGAAGAAACUAAAAUAGGUCGAAAAGUCGAAGAAUUAAAGGGAAUUGCAUAUGAUAAAAGACAAAGAAAGGUGAGAAAAUUUGAACAUAAAACAAAAGAUCUUACUAUGAAAAAGUACAGUGGAGAACACGAUGAAUAUGACUGUUUGAAUAUGCAUUUGAUCUUAUGCCACUACACUGAAGAAUCCAUUUCUUGUGGGUUUGGAUUUGAAUCUGGCCGAUAGUGGGCUUACGUUCUGUUUUCUUGAGGUUGUUCUUGAAAUAUCGGUGAUUGUCGAAGAGAGAAUGAUGGCAAAAUAUCUCCAUUUUUUCUGGGUACGAAUUUUUUUGGGAUGGAGGUGGGGGAUUGAAAAUUGUAAGUGUU